UCCCAGACUCCUACGGGAGGCAGCAGUGGGGAAUAUUGCACAAUGGGGGAAACCCUGAUGCAGCGACGCCGCGUGAGUGAAGAAGUAUUUCGGUACGUAAAGCUCUAUCAGCAGGGAAGAAAAAAGUCCUUUGGACUUUGGACGGUACCUGACUAAGAAGCCCCGGCUAACUACGUGCCAGCAGCCGCGGUAAUACGUAGGGGGCAAGCGUUAUCCGGAUUUACUGGGUGUAAAGGGAGCGUAGACGGAUAAGCAAGUCUGAUGUGAAAAUCCGGGGCCCAACUGCGGGACUGCUUUGGAAACUGCCCGGCUAGAGUGCUGGAGAGGUAAGCGGAAUUCCUAGUGUAGCGGUGAAAUGCGUAGAUAUUAGGAGGAACACCAGUGGCGAAGGCGGCUUACUGGACUGUAACUGACGUUGAGGCUCGAAAGCGUGGGGAGCAAACAGGAUUAGAUACCCCUGUACU
rnacentral:rRNA from 1 species